CCUACGGGUGGCAGCAGUGGGGAAUAUUGCACAAUGGGCGCAAGCCUGAUGCAGCCAUGCCGCGUGUGUGAAGAAGGCCUUCGGGUUGUAAAGCACUUUCAGCGGGGAGGAAGGCGUUAAGGUUAAUAACCUUGGCGAUUGACGUUACCCGCAGAAGAAGCACCGGCUAACUCCGUGCCAGCAGCCGCGGUAAUACGGAGGGUGCAAGCGUUAAUCGGAAUUACUGGGCGUAAAGCGCACGCAGGCGGUCUGUCAAGUCGGAUGUGAAAUCCCCGGGCUCAACCUGGGAACUGCAUUCGAAACUGGCAGGCUAGAGUCUUGUAGAGGGGGGUAGAAUUCCAGGUGUAGCGGUGAAAUGCGUAGAGAUCUGGAGGAAUACCGGUGGCGAAGGCGGCCCCCUGGACAAAGACUGACGCUCAGGUACGAAAGCGUGGGGAGCAAACAGGAUUAGAUACCCCUGUAGUC
rnacentral:rRNA from 1 species